GAGGGAAACCGAGUCUUAAUUGGGCGUUAAGUUGCAGGGUAUAGACCCGAAACCCGGUGAUCUAGCCAUGGGCAGGUUGAAGGUUGGGUAACACUAACUGGAGGACCGAACCGACUAAUGUUGAAAAAUUAGCGGAUGACCUGUGGCUGGGGGUGAAAGGCCAAUCAAACCGGGAGAUAGCUGGUUCUCCCCGAAAGCUAUUUAGGUAGCGCCUCGUGAAUUCAUCUCCGGGGGUAGAGCACUGUUUCGGCUAGGGGGCCAUCCCGGCUUACCAACCCGAUGCAAACUGCGAAUACCGGAGAAUGUUAUCACGGGAGACACACGGCGGGUGCUAACGUCCGUCGUGAAGAGGGAAACAACCCAGACCGCCAGCUAAGGUCCCAAAGUCAUGGUUAAGUGGGAAACGAUGUGGGAAGGCCCAGACAGCCAGGAUGUUGGCUUAGAAGCAGCCAUCAUUUAAAGAAAGCGUAAUAGCUCACUGGUCGAGUCGGCCUGCGCGGAAGAUGUAACGGGGCUAAACCAUGCACCGAAGCUGCGGCAGCGACGCUGAUGCGUUGUUGGGUAGGGGAGCGUUCUGUAAGCCUGUGAAGGUGGCCUGUGAGGGUUGCUGGAGGUAUCAGAAGUGCGAAUGCUGACAUAAGUAACGAUAAAGCGGGUGAAAAGCCCGCUCGCCGGAAGACCAAGGGUUCCUGUCCAACGUUAAUCGGGGCAGGGUGAGUCGACCCCUAAGGCGAGGCCGAAAGGCGUAGUCGAUGGGAAACGGGUUAAUAUUCCCGUACUUGGUGUUACUGCGAAGGGGGGACGGAGAAGGCUAUGUUGGCCGGGCGACGGUUGUCCCGGUUUAAGCGUGUAGGUGUGUGUUCCAGGUAAAUCCGGUUCACUUUAACACUGAGGCGUGACGACGAGGCACUACGGUGCUGAAGCAACAAAUGCCCUGCUUCCAGGAAAAGCCUCUAAGCAUCAGGUAACAUCAAAUCGUACCCCAAACCGACACAGGUGGUCAGGUAGAGAAUACCAAGGCGCUUGAGAGAACUCGGGUGAAGGAACUAGGCAAAAUGGUGCCGUAACUUCGGGAGAAGGCACGCUGACAUGUAGGUGAAGUGAUUUACUCAUGGAGCUGAAGUCAGUCGAAGAUACCAGCUGGCUGCAACUGUUUAUUAAAAACACAGCACUGUGCAAACACGAAAGUGGACGUAUACGGUGUGACGCCUGCCCGGUGCCGGAAGGUUAAUUGAUGGGGUCAGCGCAAGCGAAGCUCCUGAUCGAAGCCCCGGUAAACGGCGGCCGUAACUAUAACGGUCCUAAGGUAGCGAAAUUCCUUGUCGGGUAAGUUCCGACCUGCACGAAUGGCGUAAUGAUGGCCAGGCUGUCUCCACCCGAGACUCAGUGAAAUUGAACUCGCUGUGAAGAUGCAGUGUACCCGCGGCAAGACGGAAAGACCCCGUGAACCUUUACUAUAGCUUGACACUGAACAUUGAGCCUUGAUGUGUAGGAUAGGUGGGAGGCUUUGAAGUGUGGACGCCAGUCUGCAUGGAGCCGACCUUGAAAUACCACCCUUUAAUGUUUGAUGUUCUAACGUGGACCCGUGAUCCGGGUUGCGGACAGUGUCUGGUGGGUAGUUUGACUGGGGCGGUCUCCUCCUAAAGAGUAACGGAGGAGCACGAAGGUUGGCUAAUCCUGGUCGGACAUCAGGAGGUUAGUGCAAUGGCAUAAGCCAGCUUGACUGCGAGCGUGACGGCGCGAGCAGGUGCGAAAGCAGGUCAUAGUGAUCCGGUGGUUCUGAAUGGAAGGGCCAUCGCUCAACGGAUAAAAGGUACUCCGGGGAUAACAGGCUGAUACCGCCCAAGAGUUCAUAUCGACGGCGGUGUUUGGCACCUCGAUGUCGGCUCAUCACAUCCUGGGGCUGAAGUAGGUCCCAAGGGUAUGGCUGUUCGCCAUUUAAAGUGGUACGCGAGCUGGGUUUAGAACGUCGUGAGACAGUUCGGUCCCUAUCUGCCGUGGGCGCUGGAGAACUGAGGGGGGCUGCUCCUAGUACGAGAGGACCGGAGUGGACGCAUCACUGGUGUUCGGGUUGUCAUGCCAAUGGCACUGCCCGGUAGCUAAAUGCGGAAGAGAUAAGUGCUGAAAGCAUCUAAGCACGAAACUUGCCCCGA
rnacentral:rRNA from 1 species